GAAGAAGGGGGCGGUUGAAGCCAGUGCAGGGGGCGGGGGGUGGGGGUGCCCCAGACCGAGAGGGAUGCUCACCGGGCACAGGGGAGGUGCCCGCUUGGUGCCGGGCGCUCGGACAGGGGCCUCUGUGGGGAGAGGUCCUGGCCAAGACGCGCAUGUGGGGUUUAGAGCCCGAGGUCAGUGGUCUUAGCAAAGGAGGCAGGGAAGACACGAGAGGCAGCCGGGGGCGGGGGCCGGGAGGACCAGACCAGAGGCCACGCUGCCACCGGGGCACCUUGGACAGCACGAGUGUGUUCUCCACCAGCUCUGAGACCACAAGGCAGACCAAGGCGGGCAGGGCCUCACUCCGCC